rnacentral:rRNA from 1 species
AUUGAACGCUGGCGGCAGGCCUAACACAUGCAAGUCGAGCGGGGUUUUCGGACCUAGCGGCGGACGGGUGAGUAAUGCGUAGGAAGCUGCCCGAUAGAGGGGGAUACCAGUUGGAAACGACUGUUAAUACCGCAUAAUGUCUACGGACCAAAGUGUGGGACCUUCGGGCCACAUGCUAUCGGAUGCGCCUACGUGGGAUUAGCUAGUUGGUGAGGUAAUGGCUCACCAAGGCGACGAUCUCUAGCUGGUUUGAGCGGAUGAUCAGCCACACUGGAACUGAGACACGGUCCAGACUCCUACGGGAGGCAGCAGUGGGGAAUAUUGGACAAUGGGCGCAAGCCUGAUCCAGCCAUGCCGCGUGUGUGAAGAAGGCCUUCGGGUUGUAAAGCACUUUCAGCGAGGAGGAAGGGGUGUGUGUUAAUAGUACACACCUUUGACGUUACUCGCAGAAGAAGCACCGGCUAACUCUGUGCCAGCCGCCGCCGUAAUAC